rnacentral:rRNA from 1 species
AUUGAACGCUGGCGGAAUGCUUUACACAUGCAAGUCGAACGGUAGAGGGGGGCAACCCCUUGAGAGUGGCGAACGGGUGAGUAAUGUAUCGGAACGUGCCCAGUCGUGGGGGAUAACGUAGUGAAAAUUACGCUAAUACCGCAUACGAUCUAUGGAUGAAAGCGGGGGAUCGCAAGACCUCGCGCGAUUGGAGCGGCCGAUAUCAGAUUAGGUAGUUGGUAGGGUAAAGGCCUACCAAGCCAACGAUCUGUAGCUGGUCUGAGAGGAUGAUCCGCCACACUGGGACUGAGACACGGCCCAGACUCCUACGGGAGGCAGCAGUGGGGAAUUUUGGACAAUGGGGAAACCCUGAUCCAGCCAUGCCGCGUGAGUGAAGAAGG